AGAACGAACGCUGGCGGCAUGCCUAACACAUGCAAGUCGAACGCCUGUAGCAAUACAGGAGUGGCGCACGGGUGAGUAACGCGUGGGAACCUACCCUGGAGUGGGGGAUAACCGAGGGAAACUUCGGCUAAUACCCCAUACGACCUGAGGGUGAAAGAUUUAUUGCUCUAGGAGGGGCCCGCGUCGGAUUAGCUAGUUGGUGAGGUAACGGCCCACCAAGGCGAUGAUCCGUAGCUGGUCUGAGAGGAUGAUCAGCCACACUGGGACUGAGACACGGCCCAGACUCCUACGGGAGGCAGCAGUGGGGAAUAUUGGACAAUGGGGGCAACCCUGAUCCAGCAAUGCCGCGUGAGUGAUGAAGGCCUUAGGGUUGUAAAGCUCUUUCGGCGGGGACGAUGAUGACGGUACCCGCAGAAGAAGCCCCGGCUAACUUCGUGCCAGCAGCCGC
rnacentral:rRNA from 1 species